AAGGCUGAAAGGGACUGUCGGACUCUUAAUCCGUAGGUCGUAGGUUCGACUCCUACACGCCCAACCA
rnacentral:tRNA from 1 species